rnacentral:rRNA from 1 species
CAGCCGCGGUAAUACGUAGGGUGCAAGCGUUGUCCGGAAUUAUUGGGCGUAAAGAGCUCGUAGGCGGUCUGUUGCGUCGGCUGUGAAAACCCGGGGCUCAACUCCGGGCCUGCAGUCGAUACGGGCAGACUAGAGUUCGGCAGGGGAGACUGGAAUUCCUGGUGUAGCGGUGAAAUGCGCAGAUAUCAGGAGGAACACCGGUGGCGAAGGCGGGUCUCUGGGCCGAAACUGACGCUGAGGAGCGAAAGCGUGGGGAGCGAACAGGAUUAGAUACCCUGGUAGUCCACGCCGUAAACGUUGGGCGCUAGGUGUGGGUUCCCUUCCACGGGAUCCGUGCCGCAGCUAACGCAUUAA